rnacentral:snoRNA from 1 species
UCCCGGACUGAUAACUGGAUGGUUUGAUCGGACAGUGUAAAAACUGUACAAUUUCAGUCCCAUACUGUCUUUUAAGUGUCCGGAAAAUUAAAGACUUGAAAAUGCUUCUUACACGACUUGGAACUAUCAAUCAAUGUUCCUUGAGCGUUUACUUUUUCUCAACAUAA